rnacentral:rRNA from 1 species
UACGAAGGGGGCUAGCGUUGUUCGGAAUCACUGGGCGUAAAGCGCACGUAGGCGGAUCUUUAAGUCAGGGGUGAAAUCCCUCGGCUCAACCGAGGAAUGGCGCUUGAUACUGCAAGGCUUGAGGGAGACAGGGGUAAGCGGAACUGAUGGUGGAGCGGUGAAAUGCGUUGAUAUCAUCAGGAACACCGGUGGCGAAAGCGGCUUACUGGGUCUCUUCUGACGCUGAGGAACGAAAGCUAGGGGAGCGAACGGG